rnacentral:rRNA from 1 species
UACGUAGGGGGCGAGCGCUGUCCGGAUUUAUUGGGCGUAAAGAGCUCGUAGGCGGUUCGGUAAGUCGGAUGUGAAAUCUCCACGCUCAACGUGGAGGGGCCAUUCGAUACUGCCGUGACUCGAGUCCGGUAGGGGAGUGUGGAAUUCCCGGUGUAGCGGUGAAAUGCGCAGAGAUCGGGAGGAACACCCGUAGCGAAGGCGGCACUCUGGGCCGGUACUGACGCUGAGGAGCGAAAGCGUGGGGAGCGAACAGG